AUACGGAGGAUCCGAGCGUUAUCCGGAUUUAUUGGGUUUAAAGGGUGCGCAGGCGGCCAUUUAAGUCAGCGGUUAAAUCGUGGGGCUCAACCCCAUUCUGCCGUUGAUACUGGGUGGCUUGAUUGCGGUCGAGGCUGGCGGAAUUCGUUGUGUAGCGGUGAAAUGCAUAGAUAUGACGAAGAACACCGAUUGCGUAGGCAGCUGACCAGACCGCAAAUGACGCUCAUGCACGAAAGUGCGGGGAUCGAACAGGAUUAGAUACCCUGGUAGUCCGCACAGUAAACGAUGAAUACUUGUUUUCGGCGAUAUAAUGUCGGAGGCAAAGCGAAAGCGAUAAGUAUUCCACCUGGGGAGUACGCCGGCAACGGUGAAACUCAAAUGAAUUGGCGGGG
rnacentral:rRNA from 1 species